CCGCGGCAAGGUGUGCAUAGUAGAUGGGAGCAACUGAGAGAGAGAGCGAAAAUCAGAUGAUCAGCCAUGAGUAAAUUGCAGAAAACCACCACAAUUGGGAACCCUAAUUCACAAAACCAGCAUCUUUCGUUUUUUUUUCAAAAACCCACCGCCGUUGUACUGACAGUUUUCAGAAACGCUAAUCGCUCAAUUAAAACUGUUUAAGUGAAAAUCUGACCAGUGGGUCCUGAUGACAUGUCCACGUGACGGAGGAUAGACGGCACAACUGGUCAACCCCGUCCCCGUCGCCAGCCAGGCUGCCGGCCGACGAGCCUCCCAGCACCGCUAGCUCCUGCGCCACGCAGCAGCACGCUCGGCCGCUUGCCAUGUCCUCCGGCCACAAGCUGAAUAUGGAUGCAGGACAUGCCCAAAAGCUCCUGUUCCUGUACGGGCCUCAGGCCGACGAAGCAGCCGUCGCCGGACUGCAGGAGGCCGCCGGGAGCAGACCACGACAGGGGUGAGACGAAGAGGUUCUCAGGGGAAUAGAAGGAGCUCCUGGAGCCUGCGCAUGCUACUGGAGUACAGGACUAGGCAGGGAAGCACGACCUACUUGAGUUCGUCGGCCAUGGCGGUGGUCGUGCUCGGAGCUCUUGGGGGAUGGCGCUACAGCGCGAAAUAGAGCAGAGAAGAUGGGGGGAAACUGAGAUCAGCUCACUUCGAUGCGGUGGGAGAGCUCAGUGGGUACUGGGAAGGCUUGGAGGCGGCGAAUUGACGGCGAGGAGCGGCCGGUGCAAGCAGCGGAGAAAAGCUCGAUUCGGUCGUCUCCGGGCGUCCCUGCUCGAAUCCGUCGGCGAGGGAUAUCAGCACGAGGAGGCGGAGCUCAUGGACAUGGUCUGGCGGCGAUUCGUUAGCGGUGGCUACGCGGUAGCAAGGCAGUGCUCUCCGGGGGCGUCCUACCGCACCAUGCCGCUCGGCUCGGCCACGACUACCCACCUCGCCGGCUGUGGCAAGCCACCUCCAGCUCGUCCCCGCGCGCUUCCCCUCCUCCUCAUGUAUCCUGCUCCACGCUCCGCUCGCCGCCGGCUACGGACGGAGCCGCGCGCAUGACCCGGCUGUGCCACGACCAGCCACCUUGCCGGCUACGGCCAUGGCUGCGCCGCCACCUCGCGCCGUGUCCGACGCCAUCAGUCGGCGAGGACUCCGCACCGAUGCCAGCUUUGCCCGAACCCCUGGAUGAGCAGCUCGAGCUCCGUGAUGGAGACGACGACGGCGGCGCACGGGAGGUGUUUGUAAGAAUGCUUGAAAAAAGAGGAAGGAGCAAGCACACUGAUGGGUGGGUCCUACGUCUAACUUAACAUGGAGCGAAACUUUCUAACGGCAUGUAACGAGCACCGUCUUUACCCGGGCCACGUGGCACCUGUCAUUGGGACCCACUAGUCAGAUUUUCACUCAAACAACUCUAAUUGCUUGUUCAGUGUUUUCUGAAAACUGUCAGCACAAUGGUGGUGGUUUUUUGAAAAAAAAACGAAAGAUGGUUGUUUUAUGAAUUAGGGUCCCCAAUUGUGGUGGUUUUUUGCAAUUUACUCGAUCAGCCAUGCAUGCCGUUUUGACUGAUAAGUUGUUGCGAGAUCAAUCAAGUAAUGGCAAAUCAUGCUUACUUACCUACUGAGAUGGCUGUGGUGCUCCUCUGAUACCUGAAACGAGUACACAAGCAUCAAAAUGUCACAAAGAGUGCAACGAUGAUCAUCGACCAGAGGCAAAUUAAGGUAACAACUGAAUCUUUUGUAACUGUUUCAGUGCACAUACGUGUAGGACAGGGAGUGCACGAGCUCCUGCAGAUCGUCAGUAGAGAAGCCUAUCUCAUCAUGGAGCACAUGGUAGUGUGUUGGCCUUGUAGUCCCCUGGAAUUAACACACGAGCAUAGAGGACUGACUUAAUUAGAUUCAAAUAAGCAUUUGCAAAGCAGUGAAUUACAAUCACAACUCACACAAGGUAUAGAGAGAACAUACGAUAAUGCCAGCAUGAGCACACAUGUAGAAAUCAUAGUUCCUGGGAUGGCAGAUUACUCCAUCAACCACAGUACCUAAACAAGGGGAAAGUAGGACUAUGAUAAGAAUGUAUGUGUACAAAAAGCAUAGAAAUUGAGCUUGUUUGAUCCAUACAAAAUUGCAAAUAAUAGUUCUCUGGUAGCUAGGUGUGUAGAGAUUCUUAUUAAGUGCUUUUGAUUUCGUGUGAAUGCGUAUAUACAAACGGAACAAGCUAGCAGUCCCGAUGAUUGCCGUCCUCCACUAAAAUUGAAAGAUUGAAAAUUCAGAAUUUUUUUUGAAAGAAUGUAAAGGUACUUGGAUAAAAGAUAUAGGUUACCAGGGGGAACAUUAUUCACUCCAUUCCGCAAGAAAAAUCUUGUGUGAUGAUUCUUCUGUGCAACUAUCACUGUGAACUUGGGGAACCAGUUGCCACCAAAAUGCUUGUCGCCAAAAAACUUGCAUGCCUGUAGUAUCAAUUAGAAUUACAUCAUUACAUCAAGAACCGGCGCAUGAGGAAGAAUUAGAUGUCAUUUAUGUUACCUCCAUGAUCUGGCCUAGCUCAUCAUUCAACACCUGAUCGAACUGGCUCUCACUAACCCCAUCCCUAAUAUCAAGACAACAAAACUCCUUAGCCAGCAUCAGGGUGCCAAAGUAAACUUAUUGAAGACGUCAAGUAUUAGAGUCAGUUUGUACUCUUAGGACUAUGAAUAAAAUGUGGGGAGUGUUCUGAGGGACAACACACAAUUAAUAAACCAAUUUCUACACGACAGUUAUGAUUAUUUUCAAAAAAGAAAAGUUAUGAUGCUGAAGUACAAAGUACACUAUCAGUUAGCGUUUGCACACAUUAUCCCAGGAGGACAACUGACCUGAAAAUGAUAAUUUGUUCCGGCUUCGGUUUAUUGUUUUUUCCGAGGAAGGCAACUAGUGAAUCCCUGAAAUGUUAUACCCCAGUGAGCAAAAAGAAGAAAAAGAAAAGCAUACGGUUAGGAAGCACUGUUAUUAACAUUGUUUAAAUUUCACUUAUCUAAAACCUAUGCAGCAGAGACUCACUUAAUGAGGCCAUGAUCAGUAUCUCCAUCUUGCUUAAACAAGGUUUUGAUCAUUUCCUGCCUGGGUGGCAGAGUGCACACAGAAGCUCUGUAUUUUGAGAUGAUUGGCCACUCCAAUGAACUAACAACCUAGGUAAAAGCCAAAAAUACCAGGGAAACUGAAAACAGAAGCAUGAUAUGUUACUUACUGCAGCAACCGAUGGCACGUCACGUCCUGGUGAACCAUGGGAAACAUCCAUACCAAAGAUGAUGGUUGGAAUCCUCGACACGUGAGGAAUAGCAUGGGUUAUUUCCUUUUUCAGCAAUGAAUUUAACCCGCCAAGCUGUUUGGCAGGACAAAUUUAAUAAAAGCAAAGCAUUCAGUUUUCAGCUAACAAAUCCAAAGUACAUUGAAGAUGGCAAUGCAAAUCACACUCCAAACCUUGGCAUUUAUCUUUAGCAGCACAUUUGUGAGGUACUGAUCUUUGACGUUGGGAGGAGGAACCAAGCAUUGUGUAACAAUGCCACGUUGUGCAAGGCAUUCACGCUUCCAUGGUCCUGAUAAGAACAAGAAACGUUUGGAUGGCAGGUAGAAGCAUAAUGAAGCUUACUUACAAGGCUGAGUUAGCAGAGCAUACCAUAUAUGUCAGAGUUCUUCUCAGGAAGAAAACACAGGAGAAACUCUGGAUUAUUUCCUCCGAAUGCUAUAUUUACCUGCCGAAACAUAUCCUCCACCCUUUUUGCCGGAGAUUGAUGUUUCAUUUUAUGAAUCUCCUGAAUUACAGCGCUAUAUUUCUCCAUACUCUGCAAAUCAAACUGGCUAAGACAUUUGAAAAGGCUCAAUAUCAGGUGAAGCAGUGAACUUACGAUUCCCUUCUCGCUACCGGAUUGGAGAGGGUGCUCGACAAGAUGUUCAACAUCACGUCGUGUAGAAAAAUCAACAACUCCCCAUGGCCAGGUCUUCUUAAAGUCAAUCGGCCGAAAAAACCUCUGAAGAAUUGAACCAGGAAAGUUACCGCAUCGACGCGAAAACAAAGAGUUUACGGUGCACAUGUGUGGAGUUUAAUCAACAGAACAGAUGCAAAGCAGAAAAGGGCAUGCGCACAGUACGCAUUCAAAAACAGCCAGUCAAAAGAACAGGUAGGGCUCUGCCAACCUGUGGUGCCUCAAGGACUCUACCCUGAACCUGGGUAAAGUCUGGAACUAUUGAUAUGCCGCAUUCCUUCAUCAUUGGCUCGGAAUCAUAAUUAUUGGCACGCAACUCCUAUCAUGAUAGCGUGCUGCCUCAGAAUGAUGUCAAGAACCCGAAGAACCUCCUGCGAGUUCUCAGAUUCCUGACCGCCACCAAGGACGAGGGCAAUGGCACUGAUCGGAACCUUUGCUGUGAAGGUGAUAUCCACCUUGAACCUUUUGCUCUGUCCUGCCUGUUUCAUUCUUUUCUUGUCGCUUGGUCCUGGACUGCCAUCUGCUCCCGGGCUCUGGCUCGUUGCAAUCCUGCAGGUAAAUGGCAAGACAAUUCCCCCAACCAACAAGAGAAUAAGAGAUCGACGAGCUCAAGAACAGAUAAGCUUUCCCUGGUGAGAAAUGGGUGAUGGAUUGGAGCUGAUGAAUGCCUUACUUUCUGGACAAAGCAUCGCCAUCUAUGACAACGUCAAAAUCAUUGGUGGCAAAUGGGAGAGGCCCAGAGGUGAAGAGGCUUUUGUCGCCAUCGUAGGCGAAUUGCUUGCCAUCAAGCAAAGAGGCAUAGGUCUCGUGCAGCUGCUUCAUCACCUUUCUGCAUACUCCUUGCCCGAUUACCGGAUGAUCGUCUUCAUACUUGAGAUCCACCUGCGGUCGAUACGAUCCAACAAAAUUGAAAACCAACUGUCAGAAUGUAGCCAUGCAUGGAAAUUAAUUUCAAGAACUGGAAUGGUGAUGGACUAGCUAUGUAAUGUAGGUAGGACGAGGCAUGUUCUCCUACAUUGUAGUGGUAAAAGAAGUCAUGUGUUGGAUUCCCAGAGACUUUGAAGUGGUUCGUGAGUAGCUGUAUGGUCUGCCCUCUCUUGCCAGAGUAUUUAACCAAAAACUACCAUAUUUCAUGGAAACGUGUCCAGAAACUACCACUUUACGAAUUUGUGCCGAAAACUACCACUUUUUUGUUAAUCUAUGACUAAAAACUACCAUGUCGGGGAAGUGCCCGAUUCGCCUCUUCUAAACGCCUUUCUGACAGGAUGAGCCCACAAGUCGGGUUGACCGUUAACUUUGACCGUUAUUACAAAUAGGACCCACACGUUAACCCUCUUCUUCCUCCUCUCUCCCUCUCUUUGGCA